rnacentral:misc_RNA from 1 species
GCCCCCUUCCCCUCCGAACAUUCACGCCAUGGCUCCGCCGCAGCCAAAGUCCGGCAUCUUCGUCGGGAUCAACAGCGGCCACAUCGUCACCAAGCGCGAACUCGCUCCUCGCCCCUCCAGCAGGAAAGGGAAAACGAGCAAGAGAGUGCACUUUGUGAAGAAUUUGAUCAGGGAGGUGGCUGGAUUUGCGCCGUAUGAGAAGAGGAUUACUGAGCUGCUUAAGGUUGGCAAGGACAAGCGGGCGCUCAAGGUGGCGAAGAGAAAGUUGGGUACUCACAAGAGGGCUAAGAAGAAGAGAGAGGAGAUGGCUAAUGUCCUCAGGAAGAUGAGGUCUGCUGGAGUGUCCGAUAAGAAGAAAUGAUGAGGAGAGACUACUUGUGGACUGUUUUCAUAUUUCGGUUAGCAUUAUGUUUCUCUUGAACUGGGAACCUAUCUGUAGAACUAGUUUAAUUUUGUUGUUUUUUUUAUGCGUGAAAGGAUCUCCUUUUCUUGUUUGAAUAGUUGUGUUGGG